CACGUAGGGCGCAAGCGUUGUCCGGAAUUAUUGGGCGUAAAGAGCUCGUAGGCGGUUUGUCGCGUCUGCUGUGAAAACUGGAGGCUCAACCUCCAGCCUGCAGUGGGUACGGGCAAACUAGAGUGCGGUAGGGGAGAUUGGAAUUCCUGGUGUAGCGGUGGAAUGCGCAGAUAUCAGGAGGAACACCGAUGGCGAAGGCAGAUCUCUGGGCCGUAACUGACGCUGGGGAGCGAAAGCAUGGGGAGCGAACGAGGAU
rnacentral:rRNA from 1 species